GCACCAAAGAAGAACAUCACAUAUUAAUGACAAAGUGUAUAGAGAUAAAUGUCACAAGAAUCAUUAUUACAUAGCGGAAGUCUUACAAAAAUAAAUGAUAACAAUAAAGCAAACUAAAUAUUAUUCCUUGGCGCUAUCAAGCUGACUGGGAGACGCCACCUAGAUAAGCUCAUAUUCCUCGUUGUAGGGCUCCUCUUGGACCACCUGCUCUUCACCUGUGGGGGGUUUAUAUAUCGCAAGAGUGAUCUCACAAAAGAUCAUAGCUCAACAAGCUGUGAGGAAUAAUGUGCAUGAACUCACCAAAGGUGGGAGUUCAUGUGAAGUGUAAGACUGAUCAACAAAUAGUGGUUAAAGUUGAGCAUUGCUUUUAAUAAGUUGGUCAAAUUUUAUUAGCAGUUACUAAAUGUAAGUAUAUACCAAACCAGAGUAAUAAUAGAUUAAAAUUAAUAUUAAACCAUAAUGCGAUGCAAAUGACAAAUUGAAUUUAAUUCCAUAAAUUACUCAUGUGAGGGUCCGAGCCGCUCAUGACCGUGAGCACGGCUGAUAUACCAGUUUUACACUAUGUAGAGGUUGCACAUCUUUACCCACAAGUCAUGUUACACAUUUGCCAAGGGGUCAUGAGUCCCAUACACCUCUACCAAGGAAGCGAGGUAGGGUAACACUACGAGGCCUUUACAAAGUUCCACUAGCUUUAGAAAACCCGCUACAGUUUCUAGGAAGUCCAAAUGCAGGGAUCCCUCAUCUAACCACCAUCGCAGCAAAAUCAACCUGAGAACCUUUCUACACCGACCACUCCCCUAUUGCCCUUGCCCCUUUCGGGUAAGGUAGUCCUCCACUAGCUUUUCUAAUUAGUUAGCCUAGGGCGUCCCAUACCACCCUUAUGGUAGCAUAGUUUUCCCGAGUGGUCGCUCCAUGUUACAAUUAACAUAAUGAUCUUAUCAUGAACAGUAAAUAACAAACUGAUAAUAAAAGAAUGAUCAUGAAUAAUGUGUAUCUCAAUACCCAAAACCACAUAAGGCAAUAACAGGUGCUACCCAAAAGUUCAGUGGUAAACAAGGUAUAAAGAUAGUCAAACUAGGUUGACCUAUUGGGUCCCAUCAAAAUUAACCUAUGCAGAUCAUAAUGAUUAAAAGGAACAUUAUUAGGUAAAUAAAAGUGAUCAAGGGCACAACUUGCCUUCAACGAGCUCCUGCUUAGCAGUCUACACCUACUGAACACCUGGGUCCUCAGUGGCUUGCUCGUCUACUCGCAACAAUACAAACAAGCAUAGUAUAGGAGAAAUUAACAUCACACCAAACAUGAGAACAUAAUACAUAAUAUUAAUAUACGCAUUGUAAUGAGAUCGUAGGAACAAGAACCACUAAAUUCGGGGUUACGGUUAUCGAGCUAUGAUUUUCUGAAGUUAUUAAGUGGUUGGUACACAUUAAGUCAAUGGAUAAUUUUAGUCUAUGUUUCAUGAAUAAACAGAGUUACUAGGUGAUAAACAUUAUUAAAACAAAAUUAAUGCAACUGGAAUGGGUCAAAAAGGAUCUAACAUGGAUUUUCUAUGAAUUAAAUAAGUUAUGGAAUUAUUUCUACACUAGAAAUCCACUUUCUAUAUUUAUUUAUCUAUUUUCUCAUACCUUAGGACUGUGCGCGCUAUUUCUGAGAAGUGCAGGGAUCAAUCUAUAAAUUGCAGGGCCUCUGUGUAAGGUUCUUUCAAUUGCUUGGGACUGCGGGUUGAUACUACCGAAACAGUGGGGCUCUUUAGCAAGAAUGGCACGACGAAGGGGUAUCCUAAGAUGUUAGCCGCCCAGAUUAGAUCAUACGACUAGGAUUUCAUAAUGAAUCGGUACGAAGCCUCUCCGGUCAGAUCAAAGGUCGUCGAUCAGGAUUAAAACGACGAAGGGGUAUCUUACGGUCUAAUCUAUGCCGCCCAACCCUGAUCAGACGGCACAGAUCUGUUCUACUUCAAUCCGGAACACCAGAUCUAAUCUGCACCAUUGCCUGGCCGACCGACAGCCCGGAUCUUUUCCCCCCUUCUUACCGUCUCACUGCGCCAGCCGGUCGCCGGAGCCGUCAGCAGCCACGGCGGCGCCAUUGUUGACUUCGCCUAACUCUGAAGGUCGGUACCCAAGUGCGACCCUAACACUAUGCGCAGACCACGACGAAUCUAAUUGUAAGCUCAAUUUCACCAUUGGAACCCCACGCGCACCAGUGGUGCGAUGGCGCGGUCCCAAGGUACCGAAGCAAUCACGACGACAAAUUCCUAGCUCCCAGGGUCUCCCCACGGUCACACACGAGCGCGAUACAAUACUAUGAGCGAUUCAAACAAGCUGGGGGAAGUUAUUACCGCGCAGGGGUGGUCGGUGGUCCUGGCGGCGAAGCUUGUGUCCGCGGCCCUCGGCUCCCCCCUUCUCGAGCUCCCUCAGGUGAUGGCGGCCAGGUUCUUUUGAGUGCUAGGUGACGGGAGAUGGUCAAGUGCUUCGGAUGAUGAGGCCUUAAAGCGUGGAGGUGCGAGGCGGUUCCACGAAAUCUGAGUCUGCCGGCGAGCUUUUCGUGCGAUGUGGUUGCGAUCCGCGCAGGGAGGACAGGGUUGACUCUGACGAACAGGGCCCGAGUUCUAGAGAGCUGAGCGAACGGCUAUUGAGCAAGA
rnacentral:lncRNA from 1 species